AAAUUAUAUAUUUAUUUAUUUAUAAUCGUUUAAGUUUAUUUAAUUAAAAUAUAGUAUUUUUAUUAUUAUUAACGAAAAAAUUAAAAUUAUAAUAGUUGAUUAGUAUUGAGAAAGAACGUUAUUAAUUCUAUCAAAGAAUGAUUAAUUUUCUGUACCUUGUGUAUCAGGGUUGAUUAAAAUAAUUAAAUGAUUUUUAUUAUCUCGAAUUUUAAAGAGCUAAGAUUUUAUAAUUUUAAUUGUUGAAUAAAUUUCUAUAAUAAAUUCUUAGAAAUGAAACGUUAUUCGUUUUAAUUUAUAUCUAGUUUCUUAUGAAACAAAUUUAAUUUGUCUAUUAGAAAUAAUUUUUUAAUUUAUUAAUUUUUUAUUAUUAAUAGUUAAUAAUCUAAGGGAUUAGCUUUAGGUUAGAUUUUUAUUAAUCUAAUAUUCUAGUAAAGUUAUAGAAUUAGAAAUUUUCAUUAAUUAAAUUUUGUUAUUAUUUAUUUACUAAAAAAAAUUAUUUAUAUUAAUUAUAAAUUUAAUACUAAGAUUAAGAUUUUAAUAUUUAAGUUUUGUAAUUAUGAUUGAAUUAGUAUAAUAAGUACUGUUUAUCUAAAAAUUAUUUUUAGGUUAAUUAAAGAAACUCGGCAAUUAAGUUUUUCACCUGUUUAUUAAAAACAUGGCCUCUUGUUAUUAUAUUAGGUCUAACCUGCCCACUGAGUAGUUAAAGGGCCGCGGUAUUUUGACCGUGCUAAGGUAGCAUAAUCAAUAGUUUUUUAAUUGAAAGCUAGAAUGAAUGGUUGGAUGAGAAAACAACUGUCUCUAAUUAAAUUUUUUAUAAUUUUAUUUUUAAGUCAAAAAGCUUAAAUAAUCUUAAAAGACGAGAAGACCCUAUAGAGUUUUAUAAUUAACUUAAAUAAGUUUUUAUUAGUAUUUUUAUCUUUAUUUGAUUAUUUAUUAGAUUGGGGUGAUUGAAAAAUUUAAUUAACUUUUUCUUGUUUUUUACAUUUAUUUAUGUACAGUUGAUCCAUUAUUAGUGAUUAUAAGAUUAAAUUACCUUAGGGAUAACAGCGUUAUUUUUAUAAAGAGUUCAUAUCGAUAUAAAAGUUUGCGACCUCGAUGUUGGAUUAAAAUUAAUUUUAGGUGUAGAAGCUUAGAAUUUUAGGUCUGUUCGACCUUUAAUAUUUUACAUGAUCUGAGUUUAAACCGGCGUGAGCCAGGUUGGUUUCUAUCUUUAGAAAAUUUUAAUAUUUUAGUACGAAAGGAUCAUAUAUUAAAAUAAUAUUUUUUUAAUUUAGAAUAUAAAUG
rnacentral:rRNA from 1 species